GCUUGUCUCAAAGAUUAAGCCAUGCAUGUCUAAGUAUAAACAACUCUAUACUGUGAAACUGCGAAUGGCUCAUUAUAUCAGUUAUAGUUUAUUUGAUAGUACCUUACUACUUGGAUAACCGUAGUAAUUCUAGAGCUAAUACAUGCAUACAACCCCAACUGCCUGUGCGGACGGGGCGUAUUUAUUAGAUCGAAACCAAUGCGGGGCAACCCGGAUUCUGGUGAUUCAUAAUAACUUUCGGAUCGAUCCUCGGAUCGAUGCAUCAUUCAAGUUUCUGCCCUAUCAGCUUUGGAUGGUAGGGUAUUGGCCUACCAUGGCUUUAACGGGUAACGGAGAAUUAGGGUUCGAUUCCGGAGAGGGAGCCUGAGAAAUGGCUACCACAUCCAAGGAAGGCAGCAGG
rnacentral:rRNA from 1 species